AUUGAACGCUGGCGGCAGGCCUAACACAUGCAAGUCGAGCGGAUGAAGGGAGCUUGCUCCUGGAUUCAGCGGCGGACGGGUGAGUAAUGCCUAGGAAUCUGCCUGGUAGUGGGGGAUAACGUCCGGAAACGGGCGCUAAUACCGCAUCCGUCCUGAGGUAGAACGUGGGGGAUCUUCGGACCUCACGCUAUCAGAUGAGCCUAGGUCGGAUUAGCUAGUUGGUGGGGUAAAGGCCUACCAAGGCGACGAUCCGUAACUGGUCUGAGAGGAUGAUCAGUCACACUGGAACUGAGACACGGUCCAGACUCCUACGGGAGGCAGCAGUGGGGAAUAUUGGACAAUGGGCGAAAGCCUGAUCCAGCCAUGCCGCGUGUGUGAAGAAGGUCUUCGGAUUGUAAAGCACUUUAAGUUGGGAGGAAGGGCAGUAAGUUAAUAUCUUGCUGUUUUGACGGUACCAACAGAAUAAGCACCGGCUAACUUCGUG
rnacentral:rRNA from 1 species